rnacentral:rRNA from 1 species
UCUCUGCCAAAGCGAAAGCUGAAGUAUAGGGGCUGAUACCUGCCCAGUGCUGGAAGGUUAAGGAGAGGUGUCAUGAUUUUUAAUCGGCAGCACCGAACUGAAGCCCCAGUGAACGGCGGCCGUAACUAUAACGGUCCUAAGGUAGCGAAAUCCCUUGUCGGGUAAGUUCCGACCCGCACGAAAGGUGUAACGACUUGGGCGCUGUCUCAACGAGGGACUCGGUGAAAUUGAAAUACCCGUGAAGAUGCGGGUUACCCGCGACAGGACAAAAAGACCCCGUGGAGCUUUACUACAGCUUGGCACUGGGUCUGGACUCAUCAUGUGUAGGAUAGGUGGGAGGCUUUGAAGCCGGGGCGCCAGCCUCGGUGGAGCCAACGUUGAAAUACCACUCUUGGUGAGUUUAGCCUCUAACCCCUGAUCAAGCAGGGGGACAGUGUCUGGUGGGUAGUUUGACUGGGGCGGUCGCCUCCUAAAAGGUAACGGAGGCGCCCAAAGGUCCCCUCAGGGUGGAUGGAAAUCACCCAUAGAGCGCAUUGGCAUAAGGGGGCUUGACUGCGAGACCUACAAGUCGAGCAGGUGCGAAAGCAGGGCAAAGUGAUCCCACGGUACCGUGUGGAAGGGCCGUGGCUUAACGGAUAAAAGCUACCCCGGGGAUAACAGGCUUAUCUUGCCCAAGAGUUCACAUCGACGG